UAGGGAAUCUUCGGCAAUGGGGGCAACCCUGACCGAGCAACGCCGCGUGAGUGAAGAAGGUUUUCGGAUCGUAAAGCUCUGUUGUAAGAGAAGAACGUGUGUGAGAGUGGAAAGUUCACACAGUGACGGUAACUUACCAGAAAGGGACGGCUAACUACGUGCCAGCAGCCGCGGUAAUACGUAGGUCCCGAGCGUUGUCCGGAUUUAUUGGGCGUAAAGCGAGCGCAGGCGGUUUAAUAAGUCUGAAGUUAAAGGCAGUGGCUUAACCAUUCUUCGCUUUGGAAACUGUUGAACUUGAGUGCAGAAGUGGGGAGUGGAAUUCCAUGUGAAGCGGUGAAAUGCGUAGAUAUAUGGCGGAACUCCGGUGGCGAAAGCGGCUCUCUGGUCUGUAACUGACGCUGAGGCUCGAAAGCGUGGGGAGCUAACAGG
rnacentral:rRNA from 1 species